GAAACCAAAUUACUUAAUUUUCAAGAGUUGUCGUAGUUUACCGGAAGCAGGAGAGCAAGACAGGGGUGCUGGUACCAAUGUCAAGCUGAGGAAGGGCUGCAGCAGUGAUAAACUAAAGCAAAGGACAACUAUGAAAUACCCAGCUAUCCCAACCACUGCACUUCUUCAGGGUUUUCAAUGAGAGAAGAGAGUGCUUGGCUUAUCACUGAUGCUGGGAACACAGAACAUUGCUGCUUGCUUACUAGAAGCCAGACAGACACUGGUGACAGGUGAGGGAAGUCAGGAGCUGUGGCAGAUUCGUGAAACAUCAUGGUGUCAGUUCCCCAUGAUAGUCUGAUGGCACACUUGUUUGUGCACCUGCCCUGUGUUCCAGUGUCUGUUAGCAUAUUCACACCUGGAGGAACAGAGCGACAGAGAUAAGCGUCAGCGCC